UGGGGAAUCUUCCGCAAUGGACGAAAGUCUGACGGAGCAACGCCGCGUGAGUGAUGAAGGUCUUCGGAUUGUAAAACUCUGUUGUCAGGGACGAAAGCACCGAUCUAUAAUACAUUUUGGUGUUGACGGUACCUGACGAGGAAGCCACGGCUAACUACGUGCCAGCAGCCGCGGUAAUACGUAGGUGGCAAGCGUUGUCCGGAAUUAUUGGGCGUAAAGAGCAUGUAGGCGGGCUUUUAAGUCCGACGUGAAAAUGCGGGGCUUAACCCCGUAUGGCGUUGGAUACUGGAAGUCUUGAGUGCA
rnacentral:rRNA from 1 species